rnacentral:rRNA from 1 species
GACGAACGCUGGCGGCGUGCUUAACACAUGCAAGUCGAACGGAAAGGCCCUGCUUUUGUGGGGUGCUCGAGUGGCGAACGGGUGAGUAACACGUGAGUAACCUGCCCUUGACUUUGGGAUAACUUCAGGAAACUGGGGCUAAUACCGGAUAGGAGCUCCUGCUGCAUGGUGGGGGUUGGAAAGUUUCGGCGGUUGGGGAUGGACUCGCGGCUUAUCAGCUUGUUGGUGGGGUAGUGGCUUACCACGGCUUUGACGGGUAGCCGGCCUGAGAGGGUGACCGGCUACAUUGGGACUGAGAUACGGCCCAGACUCCUACGGGAGGCAGCAGUGGGGAAUAUUGCACAAUGGGCGGAAGCCUGAUGCAGCAACGCCGUGUGCGGGAUGACGGCAUUCGGGUUGUAAACCGCUUUCGCCUGUGACGAAGCGUGAGUGACGGUAAUGGGUAAAGAAGCACCGGCUAACUACGUG